UACCUCUCCUCUCAUACUGGGCUCUCCGUGUAGCAUGUGUUUUCUCCUGGGACCCUGAAGCACACAUCCAUUCUACUCAUGUAAAACAGACAGCUGCAUAAGAGAAAAUAAUAUAUUCACGUGUACAGCUGUUGGCAAGAAGUCUUCAGAGAUGGAGAAACCGAUGAAGAAUCUUGCUGCAAGAUCCCAACCUAUGCCAAGGGCCACUGCGAGAAGCCAGCAUGGACACGAAAUUCACACCCAGGGCAGCUCCUGUGUCUUCUGAGCCUUCUCAUGAGGGCUGCAAGCACAGUGGUCUGGUACUGCCUGCCUGUAAUGUUUUCUUUUAGAAUAGACCCUGUGUGUAGAUGAAAGAGCAUUCGACAUCAUUACUACGUGGGAUGCUGAGAACCAGGUGUUUUCUUCUCUGGGCAUAAGCUCCUGAGGCUCCCGAAAGUCUCAUCCUCCUGGGCCGAGGAUGCUGAAGGGAGCAGUGGGAUGGAAGGCGGGCCCAGAAAGCACACGGGCAGGCAGAAUCUGCUCUGCCCAGCUCCAGUGUCUUGUCUUUACUGUGCUCACCGUAUGUUUUCAGAAAGACAGGCCAAGAACAAAAGUGGGAGCCACCUAAAUGUCCAACCAUGAUGGUCCAUGAACACAGUGGAAUGUGCAAGAUAAUUGUGAAAAUUGUGCGGAAGUAUGGGGAACUGCUUAGGAUACACAGUUAAGUGAAUAAAGCAGCAUGUUAAGUGUUAUAUAUGCCAUGGUUACAAUUCCAAAAAUAUGUAUGUACAUAGGCAAAUUCUGGAAGAAUAAAACCAGAAGAAAAUGUUGUAUUAAAGUGAUAGCAUCAUGGAUGUAUAUAGAUAGCCUUUGAUGUCUUUGUUGGAAGAGGCCAUCCUUGCACCCUGUCCCUUGCUGAGCAUGCCACAACUGCAAGGCCCUGAGUGUCCCUUAGCUGGCCCAUUUCUCAGGUCCAGCUGAUAACUCUGAGAGGUGAGGUAACAUUGACCCCUCCCCAUGAUCCUCCAGGCAAACAGCAGGCUGGCUUCUGGCUUGCUGUAAGCACAGCGCCUUCUCCAAGCUCCACGCUUCACGCUGCACACACGGCAUUCAUCUGAGCCUGCUGUGUCACCUGUGAGGGAACUGGGACUGAGGGGAACUGACACAGAAGUGCGGCUGGACAUAACAUCCAGGAAACAGUAGCAGGUUGACUGAAUAGCUUCUAAGAAGGAUAAAAUCAAAUCCCAGAUGACAGUCUUAAUAAGGUUGCGAUACCAAUUUGAAAUUACAGUUGACUCUUAAACACCGGUUUGAACUGCGAGGGUCCACUUAGAGAUGGAUUUUUUUUUCCAAAAAAUACAGUCCGUGGGUUUUGUAUCCACAACCAAACACAGAUAGAAAAUAUAGUAUUCUCAGGAUUUAAAUCUGCCCGUACGGAAGCCUGGCUUUUCAUAACCUUCGGUCCCCAGGACUCACUAUGGGACUUGAGUAUGUGCAGAUUUUCAUGUCUUACCCAUGGCCCUGGAAGCAAUUUCCUACAGAUUCCCAGGGAUGACUGUAUUUGCCUAAUGUUUCUUUCCCAGCAGACUCAUGUCUGUCUUGUGCACUGCUGUGUUCCUGGCACCAUGGGGGAGCGUGGUGCAGAGCAAGUUUCCUCAGAUGGCCCUUUGUGGAUGGACUACAGGAGCAGAGAUGUGCAAGAAGCAAGUUUCAGAAGGAAUUCAAACCAAAAUGUAGAGUUUGAAGGCAACAGUGACCUUUGCAAUCAUACCUCCCUGUUAUUCAGUAACAAAGCCACCACCAUGUAUCAAGCACCCACAGGCCACACCUGUCUUCUGGACGAUUUUCGGGGCAUCAUAUUUCAAUGUUCUGUCCAUUUCCAGGCACAAAGUGCUUUCACUCACAUUCGGUCCUUGCUGCAACUGCAAGCCACUGAAGACAGGUGUGUCUGAUCCCAACGUGGAGCCCACAGUAACAGCAAGCAGCGACUGUUGCUUGUGCAGGAGGCCCUGUGUGCCACAUGUUGCUCUUCACUACUGAUCAGGGCUGUUUACGUGGGUCCCAUCACAGCUGCUCUGUGACUAGGGAACUUGACGUCUCCAUUUUUCAACUGAAAACACAGAAGUACAAAGGGGUUCACCACCUUGUCCACGGUUGCCCUGCUUCUAACUGGUCAUGUUGGAAUAAAAACAAGCAACUGUCAUCCGGGAUAUUAACCACGCAGGCUGUGGUGUUGCAAAGCAGGGGAGCACGGAGCAGGGAGCAUACCACCCUGCUGAGAUCAGCUCACUCACAAGUGGCAGGGCUAGGGCUGCAGUGCAGCUCACUUACGGGCACUGUGUAAGCCUGAAAGCAAAGUCCACAUCCAAAGGUCGUAGUGGCCCCAAAACAGCUUCCUGACCUGCUUCUGUGGUCCCAGACCUCUUGCUGCUGAGGUACCUUAGCUUU
rnacentral:lncRNA from 1 species